rnacentral:rRNA from 1 species
GGGAACGUACCCUUCGGUUCGGAAUAACUCAGGGAAACUUGAGCUAAUACCGGAUACGCCCUUUUGGGGAAAGGUUUACUGCCGAAGGAUCGGCCCGCGUCUGAUUAGCUUGUUGGUGGGGUAACGGCCUACCAAGGCGACGAUCAGUAGCUGGUCUGAGAGGAUGAUCAGCCACACUGGGACUGAGACACGGCCCAGACUCCUACGGGAGGCAGCAGUGGGGAAUAUUGGACAAUGGGCGCAAGCCUGAUCCAGCCAUGCCGCGUGAGUGAUGAAGGCCUUAGGGUUGUAAAGCUCUUUUGUCCGGGACGAUAAUGACGGUACCGGAAGAAUAAGCCCCGGCUAACUUCGUGCCAGCAGCCGCGGUAAUACGAAGGGGGCUAGCGUUGCUCGGAAUCACCGGGCGUAAAGGGCGCGUAGGCGGCCGAUUAAGUCGGGGGUGAAAGCCUGUGGCUCAACCACAGAAUUGCCUUCGAUACUGGUUGGCUUGAGACCGGAAGAGGACAGCGGAACUGCGAGU